rnacentral:rRNA from 1 species
UACGUAGGGUGCAAGCGUUAAUCGGAAUUACUGGGCGUAAAGCGUGCGCAGGCGGUUUUGUAAGACUGUCGUGAAAUCCCCGGGCUUAACCUGGGAAUGGCACUUGAAACUACGGGACUGGAGUAUGGCAGAGGGAGGUGGAAUUCCACGUGUAGCGGUGAAAUGCGUAGAGAUGUGGAGGAACACCGAUGGCGAAGGCAGCCUCCUGGGCCAAUACUGACGCUCAUGCACGAAAGCGUGGGGAGCAAACAGG